GACAGAGGUCCCGAGCGUUAGGCGGAAUCACUGGGCUUAAAGCGUGUGUAGGCGGACUUCUAAGUACCUUGUGAAAUCCCUCGGCUUAACCGGGGAACUGCGUCUGAUACUGGAUGGCUAGAGUGUGGGAGAGGGAUGCGGAAUUCCAGGUGUAGCGGUGAAAUGCGUAGAUAUCUGGAGGAACACCGGUGGCGAAGGCGGCAUCCUGGACCACGACUGACACUGAAAAGCGAGAGCCAGGGGAGCAAACGGG
rnacentral:rRNA from 1 species